AUCAGUGAAAUUGAUCUCCCCGUGAAGAAGCGGGGAUAUAAAUAUAAGACGAGAAGACCCCAUGGAGCUUUAAACCCAACAACACCUAUCUAUUUUAUUCCCCCAUAUUUAUACGGUUAUGUUUGUUUGGUUUUAGGUUGGGGUGACCGCGGAGUAUAAAACAACCUCCACGAAGAAAAGACUAAUAAUCUUUAUCAGAGAAAGACAUUUCUAAGAAAUAAUAUAUUAACUUUAAAUGAUCCGAUAUUCGAUUAACGAAUCAAGUUACCCUGGGGAUAACAGCGCAAUCCACCUUAAGAGCCCUUAUCGACAGGUGGGUUUACGACCUCGAUGUUGGAUCAGGGUAUCACAGUGGUGCAGCAGCUACUAAUGGUUCGUUUGUUCAACGAUUAAAACCCU
rnacentral:rRNA from 1 species